rnacentral:rRNA from 1 species
AGUGAACGCUGGCGGUAGGCCUAACACAUGCAAGUCGAACGGCAGCACAGUAAGAGCUUGCUCUUACGGGUGGCGAGUGGCGGACGGGUGAGGAAUACAUCGGAAUCUACUCUUUCGUGGGGGAUAACGUAGGGAAACUUACGCUAAUACCGCAUACGACCUACGGUUGAAAGCAGCGGAUCUUCGGACCUUUCGCGAUUGAAUGAGCCGAUGUCGGAUUAGCUAGUUGGCUGGGUAAAGGCCCACCAAGGCGACGAUCCGUAGCUGGUCUGAGAGGAUGAUCAGCCACGCUGGAACUGAGACACGGUCCAGACUCCUACGGGAGGCAGCAGUGGGGAAUCUUGGACAAUGGGCGCAAGCCUGAUCCAGCCAUACCGCGUGGGUGAAGAAGGCCUUCGGAUUGUAAAGCCCUUUUGUUGGGAAAGAAAAGCAGCAGGUGAAUACCCCGCUGUUCUGACGGUACCCAAAGAAUAAGCACCGGCUAACUUCGUG